AUUUGUAUAGUAUAAUUUAUUAUUUUUAACUUCCAAUUAAAAGAUCUUUUUUUAAGUACAAAUA
rnacentral:tRNA from 1 species